rnacentral:rRNA from 1 species
GACGAACGCUGGCGGCGUGCCUAAUACAUGCAAGUCGAGCGAAUGACGAAGAGAAGCUUGCUUCUCUUUCGAUUUAGCGGCGGACGGGUGAGUAACACGUGGGUAACCUGCCUUGUAGACUGGGAUAACUUCGGGAAACCGGAGCUAAUACCGGAUAAUACUUUUAGACUCCUGUUUAAAUUGUUGAAAGAUGGUUUCGGCUAUCACUACAAGAUGGACCCGCGGCGCAUUAGCUAGUUGGUGAGGUAAUGGCUCACCAAGGCAACGAUGCGUAGCCGACCUGAGAGGGUGAUCGGCCACACUGGGACUGAGACACGGCCCAGACUCCUACGGGAGGCAG